rnacentral:rRNA from 1 species
GGGGCCGGGCUUAAGACUCUGGGUCCACCUCCGCCCGUGUUUAUUUUACCUUGUUGCUUCGGCGGGCCCGCCUUAACUGGCCGCCGGGGGGCUUACGCCCCCGGGCCCAGGCCCGCCGAAAACACCCUCGAACUCUGUCUGAAGAUUGAAGUCUGAGUGAAAAUAUAAAUUAUUUAAAACUUUCAACAACGGAUCUCUUGGUUCCGGCAUCGAUGAAGAACGCAGCGAAAUGCGAUACGUAAUGUGAAUUGCAAAUUCAGUGAAUCAUCGAGUCUUUGAACGCACAUUGCGCCCCCUGGUAUUCCGGGGGGCAUGCCUGUCCGAGCGUCAUUGCUGCCCUCAAGCCCGGCUUGUGUGUUGGGCCCCGUCCCCCGAUCUCCGGGGGACGGGCCCGAAAGGCAGCGGCGGCACCGCGUCCGGUCCUCGAGCGUAUGGGGCUUUGUCACCCGCUCUGUAGGCCCGGCCGGCGCUUGCCGAUCAACCCAAAUUUUUAUCCAGGUUGACCUCGGAUCAGGUAGGGAUACCCGCUGAACUUAAGCAUAUCAAUAAGCAGGAGGAA